GACGAACGCUGGCGGCGUGCUUAACACAUGCAAGUCGAACGGAAAGGCCCCUUUGGGGGUACUCGAGUGGCGAACGGGUGCGUAACACGUGAGUAACCUGCCCUUGACUUCGGGAUAACUUCAGGAAACUGGGGCUAAUACCGGAUAGGAAUCCUUGCUGCAUGGUGGGGGUUGGAAAGCUUCGGCGGUUUUGGAUGGACUCGCGGCUUAUCAGCUUGUUGGUGGGGUAGUGGCUUACCAAGGCUUUGACGGGUAGCCGGCCUGAGAGGGCGACCGGCCACAUUGGGACUGAGAUACGGCCCAGACUCCUACGGGAGGCAGCAGUGGGGAAUAUUGCACAAUGGGCGGAGGCCUGAUGCAGCAGCGCCGCGUGCGGGAUGACGGCCUUCGGGUUGUAAACCGCUUUCAGCAGGGGCGAAGCUUGUGGUGACGGUACCUGCAGAAGAAGCACCGGCUAACUACGUG
rnacentral:rRNA from 1 species